rnacentral:pre_miRNA from 1 species
GAUUUCAACUGAAAAGGUCAUCAACUUCAAAGUUGUAUAACUCAUCAGUAUCUAUAACUUUAAUUUUGGUCAUUUCUUCAUCCGACAAAGUGAUAGUAACAUUGUUCACAAAAUUUACAUAUCUCUCUUAUAGUUUAUAAACUAUAUAAGAGAUAUGUACAUUUUGUGAAUAAUGUUAUAAAUCACUCUGUCGGAUGAAAAAAUGGCCCAAAUAAAAGUUAUAGGCCUUGAUGAGUUAUAGCACUUUGUUAUUGAUAACCUUUUAGUUGAAAUC